rnacentral:misc_RNA from 1 species
GAUGAAGAACGUAGCGAAAUGCGAUACUUGGUGUGAAUUGCAGAAUCCCGUGAACCAUCGAGUCUUUGAACGCAAGUUGCGCCCGAAGCCAUUAGGCCGAGGGCACGCCUGCCUGGGUGUCACACGUCGUUGCCCCCCCAUCUACUCCUUCGGGAUUGUGGGGGGCGGAUGAUGGCCUCCCGUGCGCCUCGUCGCGCGGUUGGCAUAAAUGCCAAGUCCUCGGCGACGCACGCCACGACAAUCGGUGGUUGCGAAACCUCGGUUGCCCGUCGUGUGCGGUCGUCGCGCAUCGAGGGCUCGAAAAAAUUGCCGGGCUCCGGCUCGGCUUUCAACGCGACCCCAGGUCAGGCGGGGUUACCCGCUGAAUUUAAGCAUAUCAAUAAGCGGAGGA